GACUUUGAUUAGCAGAUCAAUUGUUUUAUAUUUUCAGCUGACGAAGGAUUUAGUUCAUCCACGACAAUCAAAAUGGAAACAACAUCCUGGUGGCAACUGCAAUCGGAGGUCUAUACAGAUGGCGUACAGUUUGAUAAACUGGUGUUGAACUUCAUCUUCUAUAUUAUAGUUUUUCUGAUACAAACAUACGUUGAAAACAAAUUUCAACGGAGGUGGAAAGGGAGGAAGAACAGAACAAG